rnacentral:lncRNA from 1 species
AUAUAUUUAAGAAUUCUAUGAGAGUCUGUCUUGAAUGUAUAUAUUUUGCCAAAAUAAUCAAUGCCCAUUAUACAAAAGUGUAUAAACAAUAGGCACUCGCUAUGGAAUGUAUGAUAAAUUAUAUUUAAUUCCUUGCAAUCAUUGACUUACAAAUCAACUUCAUUUUAUUUUAAUAUUUUUGUACAUUGAAGACAAAAUUCAUUUUGUGACAGUUACUUUUCAUCAUCAUGUCAAAAAUGUGUAAGUAUGAGAUUAUCAAUACUAACAACUAUGUUGCUUAAAAAAAAGGUUUCAGAGAUAUACAUAUGCAUAUCCGCUCUUCAUUUUACUAUGGCUUCAUCUUCAUCCUUCCAAUUUGGAAGCAUGAUCUUUUCAUAUAUGUAUAUUAUAGAAAAAAAGUAUUAAAACAAUUGAAAAGUUGUUAGACCUUUUCUUUUUUUGGAGUGUUCCCUUAUUUUUUUCUUGCUUAAAUAAAGCAUAAAUGGGCAUCUUAUUUAUUUAUACACGUUUAAAGGAUCACACAUCAUAUUAUGCUGUAUGUAUAAGGCGUGAACCAAAGAGUUACUCUUAAAGGUUUUUAAAUAAAAUUUGCAGCAGAGUUUUCUAAUUCUAGUAGAAGUUUUGUACAAAUUAAAGAAGUGAGUAAGAAUAUGGCGGAUAAAAAGAAACAAUUUGUGUUUGCCUCGUUGAGUAAAUGCAUUUAGAUCGUGGAAGUUGGUUUUUUUUGUUUAAAGUUAAAUAAUAAUCAUGGUUCGUGACUUAACCACAACUAUGUCCCCCCUUAUGUAGAAAGAAGCUUUAAUUUGUUAGUGGAAUGAAACAUUCCUGACUUGUAACU